rnacentral:misc_RNA from 1 species
GCACUAGAAGGAUCUCCUGCAAAUCAAAUCAGAUAUUAUGGAAACUAAACAGAGAACCAAAUAUUAAACUUAUUCAAAUGCAUUCUCCUAAUCAAAGAUCAGAACCAUAUUUCCUGUCUCAAAAACCAAGAUGGAACUAGAAUUGCUAGAAACCAGAAGAUUUAUAGGAAGAUUAAGACUACAAUAUUAUGAGUAAGGAGUAGAGCAGU